CCUACGGGUGGCAGCAGUGAGGAAUAUUGGUCAAUGGGCGAGAGCCUGAACCAGCCAAGUCGCGUGAAGGAUGACGGCCCUACGGGUUGUAAACUUCUUUUGUCAGGGAGCAAUUGAGUCCACGUGUGGUCUUAGCGAGAGUACCUGAAGAAAAAGCAUCGGCUAACUCCGUGCCAGCAGCCGCGGUAAUACGGAGGAUGCGAGCGUUAUCCGGAUUUAUUGGGUUUAAAGGGAGCGUAGACGGCGAAGAAAGUCUGAAGUGAAAGCCCGCGGCUCAACCGCGGAACUGCUUUGGAAACUUUUUUGCUGGAGUACCGGAGAGGUAAGCGGAAUUCCUAGUGUAGCGGUGAAAUGCGUAGAUAUUAGGAGGAACACCAGUGGCGAAGGCGGCUUACUGGACGGUAACUGACGUUGAGGCUCGAAAGCGUGGGGAGCAAACAGGAUUAGAUACCCUAGUAGUC
rnacentral:rRNA from 1 species